rnacentral:rRNA from 1 species
GCAGUCGAGCGGUAGAGAGGUGCUUGCACCUCUUGAGAGCGGCGGACGGGUGAGUAAAGCCUAGGAAUCUGCCUGGUAGUGGGGGAUAACGCUCGGAAACGGACGCUAAUACCGCAUACGUCCUACGGGAGAAAGCAGGGGACCUUCGGGCCUUGCGCUAUCAGAUGAGCCUAGGUCGGAUUAGCUAGUUGGUGAGGUAAUGGCUCACCAAGGCGACGAUCCGUAACUGGUCUGAGAGGAUGAUCAGUCACACUGGAACUGAGACACGGUCCAGACUCCUACGGGAGGCAGCAGUGGGGAAUAUUGGACAAUGGGCGAAAGCCUGAUCCAGCCAUGCCGCGUGUGUGAAGAAGGUCUUCGGAUUGUAAAGCACUUUAAGUUGGGAGGAAGGGCAUUAACCUAAUACGUUAGUGUUUUGACGUUACCGACAGAAUAAGCACCGGCUAACUCUGUGCCAGCAGCCGCGGUAAUACAGAGGGUGCAAGCGUUAAUCGGAAUUACUGGGCGUAAAGCGCGCGUAGGUGGUUCGUUAAGUUGGAUGUGAAAUCCCCGGGCUCAACCUGGGAACUGCAUUCAAAACUGUCGAGCUAGAGUAUGGUAGAGGGUGGUGGAAUUUCCUGUGUAGCGGCGAAAUGCGUAGAUAUAGGAAG